rnacentral:rRNA from 1 species
UACGGAGGGGGGCUAGCGUUUGUUCGGAAUUACUGGGCGUAAAGCGCACGUAGGCGGCUUUGUAAGUUAGAGGUGAAAGCCCGGGGCUCAACUCCGGAAUUGCCUUUAAGACUGCAUCGCUAGAAUUGUGGAGAGGUAAGUGGAAUUCCGAGUGUAGAGGUGAAAUUCGUAGAUAUUGGGAAGAACACCAGUGGCGAAGGCGGCUCACUGGUCCGAUACUGACGCUGAGGUGCGAAAGCGUGGGGAGCAAACAGG